rnacentral:rRNA from 1 species
UACGUAGGGUGCGAGCGUUAAUCGGAAUUACUGGGCGUAAAGUGUGCGCAGGCGGCUGAGCAAGUCGAGUGUGAAAGCCCCGGGCUUAACUUGGGAAUUGCGCUCGAAACUACUUGGCUGGAGUGUGGCAGAUGAAGGUGGAAUUCCACGUGUAGCGGUGAAAUGCGUAGAGAUGUGGAGGAACACCAAUGGCGAAGGCAGCCUUCUGGGCCAACACUGACGCUCAUGCACGAAAGCGUGGGGAGCAAACAGG